rnacentral:lncRNA from 1 species
AACAACAGAAAAUGUGUGACAAAAAUGCCAGAAUUAUUAUAGUCUCCCUUUAGUUCCUGAAUAUCAUUAAGAAAAGAAAAUUAAUCUGCUACUCUUAGAAGAGUUCCAGGGCUAUGAAUAACUAUUCUAUGAAAAAAUAAUAUCACAGUGAAUUUACUUCAUUUCCCUAAAACAUCUAAGUAUAUAGUUCUUAUUACUUGGGCAAGGUGCUGAUAACCGUGGCAUCCUACACAUGUCAGAGUCUGUACCACAGAUGAAGAACAUGAAAAUAUGAAAUAUUUUUGCUUAGAUGAGUGCUGCUCCCCUUCACCCUAAAGAAAGGGAGAAAAAUCUUCCCUCCAAAAGAAGAAUCUUGAGUUCUUACUUUAAUUUAGAGUGUAAAUAAGUAUAUCCAUAGGAAAGGUAAAUCCCAGGACUCAUACCUCUCCUUGAAAUUUAAAAUAUAGCUCUGAAGAGGUGAAUCUACAUGGAGUU